UGCAGUCGAACGGUGACGAUCAAGCUUGCUUGGUCUGAUCAGUGGCGAACGGGUGAGUAACACGUGAGUAACCUGCCCCAGACUCUGGGAUAACCCCGGGAAACCGGAGCUAAUACCGGAUAUGACACCAACGGGCAUCCGUAUGGUGUGGAAAGUUUUUCGGUCUGGGAUGGACUCGCGGCCUAUCAGCUUGUUGGUGAGGUAGUGGCUCACCAAGGCGACGACGGGUAGCCGGCCUGAGAGGGCGACCGGCCACACUGGGACUGAGACACGGCCCAGACUCCUACGGGAGGCAGCAGUGGGGAAUAUUGCACAAUGGGCGAAAGCCUGAUGCAGCGACGCCGCGUGAGGGAUGACGGCCUUCGGGUUGUAAACCUCUUUCAGCAGGGAAGAAGCGCAAGUGACGGUACCUGCAGAAGAAGCACCGGCUAACUACGUGCCAGCAGCCGCGGUAAUACGUAGGGUGCGAGCGUUGUCCGGAAUUAUUGGGCGUAAAGAGCUUGUAGGUGGUUUGUCGCGUCUGCUGUGAAAAUCCGAGGCUCAACCUCGGACUUGCAGUGGGUACGGGCAGACUAGAGUGUGGUAGGGGAGACUGGAAUUCCUGGUGUAGCGGUGGAAUGCGCAGAUAUCAGGAGGAACACCGAUGGCGAAGGCAGGUCUCUGGGCCAUUACUGACACUGAGAAGCGAAAGCAUGGGGAGCGAACAGGAUUAGAUACCCUGGUAGUCCAUGCCGUAAACGUUGGGAACUAGGUGUGGGUCGCAUUCCACGUGAUCCGUGCCGCAGCUAACGCAUUAAGUUCCCCGCCUGGGGAGUACGGCCGCAAGGCUAAAACUCAAAGGGAAUUGACGGGGGGCCCGCACAAGCGGCGGAGCAUGCGGAUUAAUUCGAUGCAACGCGAAGAACCUUACCAAGGCUUGACAUACACCGGAAUCACUCAGAGAUGGGUGCGUCUUCGGACUGGUGUACAGGUGGUGCAUGGUUGUCGUCAGCUCGUGUCGUGAGAUGUUGGGGUUAAGUCCCGCAACGAGCGCAACCCUCGUUCCAUGUUGC
rnacentral:rRNA from 1 species